CCUACGGGUGGCAGCAGGGAGGAAUAUUGGUCAAUGGCCGGAAGGCUGAACCAGCCAAGUAGCGUGAAGGAAGAAGGACCUAUGGUGUGUAAACUUCUUUUAUAGGGGAAUAAAGUUAUCCACGUGUGGAUUUUUGCAUGUACCCUAUGAAUAAGCAUCGGCUAACGCCGUGCCAGCAGCCGCGGUAAUACGGAGGAUGCGAGCGUUAUCCGGAUUUAUUGGGUUUAAAGGGUGCGUAGGUUGUUUUUUAAGUCAGCGGUGAAAGUUUGUGGCUCAACCAUAAAAUUGCCGUUGAAACUGGAAGACUUGAGUGUGUUUGAGGUAGGCGGAAUGCGUGGUGUAGCGGUGAAAUGCAUAGAUAUCACGCAGAACUCCGAUUGCGAAGGCAGCUUACUAAGCCAUAACUGACACUGAGGCACGAAAGCGUGGGGAUCAAACAGGAUUAGAUACCCCAGUAGUC
rnacentral:rRNA from 1 species